AUUGAACGCUGGCGGCAGGCUUAACACAUGCAAGUCGAGCGGGGGAAGGUAGCUUGCUACCGGACCUAGCGGCGGACGGGUGAGUAAUGCUUAGGGAUCUGCCUAUUAGUGGGGGACAACAUCUCGAAAGGGAUGCUAAUACCGCAUACGCCCUACGGGAGAAAGCAGGGGAUCUUCGGACCUUGCGCUAAUAGAUGAGCCUAAGUCGGAUUAGCUAGUUGGUGGGGUAAAGGCCUACCAAGGCGACGAUCUGUAGCGGGUCUGAGAGGAUGAUCCGCCACACUGGGACUGAGACACGGCCCAGACUCCUACGGGAGGCAGCAGUGGGGAAUAUUGGACAAUGGGGGGAACCCCGAUCCAGCCAUGCCGCGUGUGUGAAGAAGGCCUUAUGGUUGUAAAGCACUUUAAGCGAGGAGGAGGCUACUUUAGUUAAUACCUAGAGAUAGUGGACGUUACUCGCAGAAUAAGCACCGGCUAACUCUGUGCCAGCCGCCGCGGUAA
rnacentral:rRNA from 1 species